CUGCCUCCUCCCCUCCCCCGAGAAGGGCAGCUCCGAUCCUGCAGAAACGCCUGAAACUGUUUCAGACCAAGGAGCUUUGUGCUGACUUUACCAUGCUGCAAGAUCAGUCCUUCUUCCCCAUCUAUACAAGUGAGACGACCUUCCCCUCCCCAUACUGCAGAUACAACUCUGGUGGAUUAAGCACCUGAAAUCAUUGCUUCUUCUCAAUUAAGUUCCAGAUCCAAGCAAGGCACAGCUCAAAAUUAUCAUGUGAUAUAUCAUUGGAGAAUCACAGAAUGUGCUGAGUUGGAAGGGACCGACAAGGAUCAUC